CCUACGGGCGGCAGCAGUGAGGAAUAGUGGUCAAUGGACGAGAGUCUGAACCAGCCAAGUAGCGUGAAGGAUGACUGCCCUAUGGGUUGUAAACUGCGUUUAUAUGGGAAUAAAAUGUUCCACGUGUGGGAUUUUGUAAGUACCAUAUGAAUAAGGAUCGGCUAACUCCGUGCCAGCAGCCGCGGUAAUACGGAGGAUCCGAGCGUUAUCCGGAUUUAUUGGGUUUAAAGGGAGCGUAGGAGGAUUGUUAAGUCAGUUGUGAAAGUUUGCGGCUCAACCGUCAAAUUGCAGUUGAAACUGGCAGUCUUGAGUUCAGUCGCGGUUGGCGCAAUUCGUGGUGUAGCCGUGACAUGCUUAGAUCUC
rnacentral:rRNA from 1 species